rnacentral:lncRNA from 1 species
CAGAGGUGGCCUGGUCAGACUGCAGCCAGGGCAAGGAGGUGAAUGGCACAGCGCAGACACCAGGGGAAGGCACAGGAGUGGAGGAGCGAACCAGGGAUGGGAGCCGAGUGGCGUGAGCAGGGCCCGGUGUCUCCUCCCCCAAGGAAGAAAGGGGCUUCUGUCUGUAGCGGCCCGGCCCUCACUGCACACAGUAGGCGCUCAGCACGGCAUUCCCGUGGGACCGUGGACGUUCGCUGCCCUCUCAGAACCGCCGGACGCCACCAGCACUCAGAACCCCGCGUCAGGUUCUGGCCUCCCAACGCCUCCGUACCUGGCCUCCGUGCCCCGAUCUUCACUGAAGGCCUACUAUGCACCAGAUGGUGUUAUAAGUCCUGGGGGUAAAGCAGAAUAAGGCAAGCAAACACCUCUGCCUUCGUGGAGCAGACAUAAAGCAACCAAAAAUAUAAUGCAAUAACAUCGAACUUAGAAGUUCUAUUAAAAAUAAACAACAACAGGCUCUCUGCUCCUCCCCGUUCAACAGACAGCCACGUAUUCUGGUGCAGUGCC